UUGUAUGCGCGUUUUUGUGUGAAUGCGCGCUUGCGCUGUUGACUCUUUGGCGCAUUCCGGAACUUUGUGCGUGCGGCGUAUGUGUGCGGGUUGCGUGAUGAGUUUGCUGCGUUUUCUGUGCCCUUUGCCUCGCUGUGACAUCUUUGGUAUAUUCCAACUUGUUGCUCGCUCUUUAUGGGCUACACGUUGCCUCGAAGAUCACCAUGAUCGCCUCCGACUCAGCCACAUCGAAGAAUCAAAAUGAGCCUGGAGACGCCACAGCCGGAAUGCGAAAGGUUGGAGAAGUGCUCAUUCAGAUGAUCCUGGCACAGCUUGCCAUGGUGGACCAGGCAAGUUUGCAAGGGCCUUGAUUCACCAUGUGUUCACAGAGAACCUCAUGGGCCACUCACUUCUCGGAAACAACACCACCAAUAGGCAAAAAGAGGCUCUUGGCCUUAUCAGGGUCAACGCUGUUAUAG